rnacentral:rRNA from 1 species
CCUACGGGAGGCAGCAGUGAGGAAUAUUGGUCAAUGGACGGAAGUCUGAACCAGCCAUGCCGCGUGCAGGAAGACGGCUCUAUGAGUUGUAAACUGCUUUUGUACAAGGGUAAAGCGGAAUACGUGUAUUCAGCUGAAAGUACUGUACGAAUAAAGAUCGGCUAACUCCGUGCCAGCAGCCGCGGUAAUACGGAGGAUCCAAGCGUUAUCCGGAUUUAUUGGGUUUAAAGGGUGCGUAGGGGGAUUGCUAAGUUAGUGGUGAAAUGUCCGCGCUUAACUCGGGAACUGCCUCUAAUACUGGUGCUCUUGAGCGUAGUUGCGGUAGGUGGACUGCAUGGUGUAGCGGUGAAAUGCUUCGAGAUCAUACAGAACACCGAUUGCGAAGGCAGCUUACCAAUCUGUAUCUGACGUUGAUGCACGAAAGCGUGGGGAGCACACAGGAUUAGAUACCCGGGUAGUC